rnacentral:rRNA from 1 species
AUUGAACGCUGGCGGCAUGCCUUACACAUGCAAGUCGAACGGCAGCACGGGAGCAAUCCUGGUGGCGAGUGGCGAACGGGUGAGUAAUGUAUCGGAACGUGCCCAGUCGUGGGGGAUCACGUAGCGAAAGCUACGCUAAUACCGCAUACGAUCUAUGGACGAAAGCGGGGGAUAGCAAGACCACGCGCGCUUGGAGCGGCCCAUAUCAGAUGAGGUAGUUGGUGGGGUAAAGGCCCACCAAGCCUGCGAUCUGUAGCUGGUCUGAGAGGAGGAACAGCCACACUGGAACGGAGACACGGUCCAGACUCCUACGGGAGGCAGCAGUGGGGAAUUUUGGACAAUGGGCGCAAGCCUGAUCCAGCAAUGCCGCGUGCAGGAUGAAGGCCUUCGGGUUGUAAACUGCUUUUGUACGGAACGAAACGGCUUUUUCUAAUACAGAGAGCUAAUGACGGUACCGUAAGAAUAAGCACCGGCUAACUACGUGCCAGCAGCCGCGGUAA